CUCAGAGCUGACAUCCCUGACGCUGGAUGAAAAGGCGGAGGAAUCCCUCCUGUCACGCAUGUGAUUCUGCAGAUUUGGCCAGCUGAAAUUUGUGAGCUCUGGCUUCCCAAACUUCAAUCAGUGCCUCAGAUUUAUGAGGCAGGAUCUUCACUGAUUCAAGUCUGAAAAAACUUCCUCUGCAGCUGAUCCACAACAGGAGGACAACUCUAUGGUGCGUGCGUGCGUGCGUGCGUGUGGUGGGGGUUAUCCUGACCUUCUGAGGGGUUGGUGUCACGUCCAACCUGAUAGCGGUGUGAAUGGGAAAACAGAAAAGAUGAAUACAGCAAUUGCUUAAUAGUGGAACAUGAGUGUGUCAUGCUGUGGAUGCCUUCAGUCCCAGGAGAGGGCCUUCCCUAACCACAACCUUUCUUCUGCCCGAGACUUGAGAAGCAAAGGGGGACGUUGCGGCAUCUAACAGCGUCCCUUUGAAUAGAGCAAUGCUGAAAUCAAGCAGCAUGCCUCAAAUACUUGUGGCAGUUUUCGGUGAGACUCUUUGCACAUCGCCUAAUGGAACUUUAAAGGAUAAGUCUGGGGAUAAAGUGAGCUGCACUGUUGGACUACGUCACAUUUUCCU